rnacentral:rRNA from 1 species
GACGAGGGGUCCAAGCGUUGUUCGGAAUCAUUGGGCGUAAAGCGGGUGUAGGUGGCUUUGUAAGUCAGGAGUGAAAUCCCCGAGCUUAACUUGGGAAGUGCUUUUGAAACUGCAGAGCUUGAAUGUGGGAGAGGAUCGUGGAAUUCCAGGUGUAGUGGUGAAAUACGUAGAUAUCUGGAGGAACACCGGUGGCGAAGGCGGCGAUCUGGCCCAACAUUGACACUGAGACCCGAAAGCGUGGGGAUCAAACAGGACUUAGGAAACCCCAAGUGAGUCCC